rnacentral:lncRNA from 1 species
UGUGUGACUGGGAGGUGUGGCCUUGUGUGAUAGGCGGGUUGGAGACAUCAUUGCUUGCUAGUUGUUUGUGCAUCGCUAGGAUGCUUGUGUGUUGCUUGUUGGAUUUAUUUUUGACAUGUUGGUGGAAAAUGAAUGAGUGGGAAGGAAGCCUGGUUUGGUUCUCACUGAGUAAUUUCCCCAAAUUACUCACUCCUCUCUUUUAAAUCCAUAUUGCAGGUGACUGUGAUGAAUGUGAUUGUGAUGAUGUCUGGGAGGAACUAUACGAGUAGCUCUAGUGUGGUGUGCCUUCAGAGAUGGAGGAAGAUUUUUAUCGCUUUAAGAACUAUUUUUCGUAUUUUCUUUUAAG